AUUAUUAUUAUUAUUAUUAUUAAUUCAUGACUUCAGCUAGACAGUGUCAGAAUACUUUAUUACUGCAAAUUGCAUAUUUGUAAGAGUAUGUCUGGAGUACGAUCAGCUAAUUAGUGUCUCUUUAUUUGCUUACUGUGCUUUUUCUCCUAAUUUCGUUGCUCUGGUUUAACUUAGCAGGCAGCUAAACACCACACAAGUGCUUGCUCCCCUCUCCCCAGUGAGAUGGGGGAGAGAACUGGAGGGGAAAAAAAAGUAAAAUUUGUGCGUUGAGAUGAAGACUUUUAAAUAGAGCAGAGAAGGAAUGGAUAAUAAUAAGAAUAUACAAAACAAGUGAUGCACAGUACAGUUGCUGCCAAUCGAUGCCCAGCCAGUUCCUGAGCAGCAGCCCCCAACUGGCUUUCUCCCUGGUGUAUAUACUGAGCAUAACACCCCAUGGUAUGGAAUAUCCCUUUGGCCAGUUUGGAUCAUCCUGGAUGUAUUUUCUGCCAGCUUCCUGUGCCCCCCAGCCUACUUGGAGAGCAGAAUUUUGAACAGUAGUAACUUGGAUGGAGUGUUUGGAGCACAUACAGAGCAUACAGAGUUCUGGAAAAAUUGAAAUUUAGUAUUUGGAAGACAAAUGGAUGGGGGCUUCCUCAAAAGACUGAUCUACUGUUUUGGUUAUUUUAUUUUAGUAUAGGCACCCAAAAUGAGUAAAUCUGCUGUAGCCCCUUGUUAUUCUUUGUGUAGCACAGAAGAACAGGGAUAUAUUUCUUUUUACAUAAGAUUUAAUUACAAGUAGUGUUUGUUAGAGAACUAAUGAGAGUAAUAGAAAAACCACUGCCUCUGGCAGUGGCUCAUACCCAUACACAUAUGCUUAUGAUUUCUGGUAAAUGAAAAGCACUUUGUAAUGUAGCUGUAGCAUUAAAAAUGGAUUUAAAUGCUGUUCCAGCUAACCUACUCCUUUCCUUACUCUUGGAUGUGGCUUUAACACUUAGUUCCUCUGUUUUCAUCUCUAUGCUGCCCAUGAUGAAAAGAUGCUGACCUGCUAACAUCCAGAUGAUUCAAGAUACAGUAGACAAGCAGUCUUUAGAAGAUCAGCAUUCUGGAUUAAAAAAAAAAUGUAAUUUGAAAAAGAAAAGAGGAAACUGCAAUUGACAAGGCAAUGUUUAGAACCACUUGCUGCAGUAGUGGAUGGCAAGGAUGCUCUCUGAACUACCUCUUCAAUAAAGCUCUUCUCAUGAGUUUUUGGGUUCCCUCACCAACAAAGUCCUAGAUUAUACAUAGUUCUCUACUUUUCAAAAAAAAUGUGGGGAUCAGAGGAGAUUUUCUUGGUUGUUUUCUUGUGUUUGUGAAUACUUAAGCCAGUUGUUCCAAGACUGUUAUGCACAGAACUCAGUACAAAAAUGUCCUUAGUGAGAAAUAUUCUUGGGGAUUCUUCUUGAUACAGUUUUUUUUCUCAAGAAUGAAGAUGCCACAAGUCAUCCAGACAACAUUCUGGCUGGCAUUAUGGUAUAUGGCCUUUUUCCCUUACCUUUUUUUCUACGUUCUAUUCUAGUCUAGUCUAUUCUAUUCCUUUUUUACCUGCUCUCCAUAUAAAAUUCUAACAUUCUUCUCAGGAUACAAUGCAACUGAACAUUUAAUAUGAUAAAAGAAUUCAGUUGAGUCCAGUUGCUUUCUUCCUGAACAGAAUUUCCUGCCUGAAAUAAAUCCUUAAAGCAUUCUUCAGGAAAAUUUGAAAGUCCUGUGCUGGGAAUGGUAUUCAGAGACUCAGGACUCAGUCCAGUACUUACACGUUCUUCAGCAUCAUGUUUGCUACAAAGUCUUGGAAAAAGCUAUUGCUUAGAUACUUCUUUUUUUUUUUUAACUUUUUAAAUAAAUAACAAUUGGUUAAAUCUCAUUAUGGUUUCUAAAGAAGCCUAUGCACAAAGUAAUUAUGUGUGUGUAUGCAUAUAUGAAUGUAUUGGUAUCAAGAAGUCUAGAAUUCACUUCUGCUCAAUCCCAGUAACUCUCACAAAAUCCCUGUUUAAAGCAAGCUGUGAAUCCACUGUGGAGACUAGAGAGUAUAUGAAUACUAGAGAGUAUAUGAGUAUAAGAUAGGUGUGUCAGUCUUAUUAGAAAAUAAUGUCCAUCAACAGGUCCUGACAGUCCUUCUGAGUCUGCUUGUCUGGCAUAUCCUCGUAUGGAACCAUUAAAUACCUGUUUCUAAAUCA